GAGGGUAUAGCUCAGUGGUAGAGCGCAUGCUUAGCAUGCACAAAGUCUUGGGUUCAAUCCCCAGUAUCUCCU
rnacentral:tRNA from 1 species